rnacentral:rRNA from 1 species
AAUCAACGCUGGCGGCGUGCCUCAGACAUGCAAGUCGAACGCGAAAGUCCCCUUCGGGGGACAAGUAGAGUGGCGCACGGGUGAGUAACACGUAGGUAAUCUACCUUUGGAUGGGGAAUAACAACCGGAAACGGUUGCUAAUACCGCAUAAUGCAGCGGCACCUAAUGGUGACAGUUGUUAAAGCGGGGGGAUCGAAAGACCUCGCGUCUGAAGAGGAGCCUGCGGCGGAUUAGCUAGNGGUAAGGUAAUGGCUUACCAAGGCUACGAUCCGUAACCGGCCUGAGAGGGCGGUCGGUCACACUGACACUGACAUACGGGUCAGACUCCUACGGGAGCAGCAGUCGGGAAUUUUGGGCAAUGGGCGAAAGCCUGACCCAGCAACGCCGCGUGAAGGAUGAAAUCCCUCGGGAUGUAAACUUCGCAAGAACGGGAAGAAUAAGCGAGAGUUAAUAUCUUUCGU